GUUUUUGCUUAAAGAGUGGCUGCCUCUUUUAAAUGAAGCAAAAUCUGCUUUGGACAAAAUCAGAUUGGAGAGCUUGACAGGCGAGCAAGCUUGAUGUUCAACUUGAGCUCUUCCUCCGCAUUGUUCCUGACAAAACUUACAACACAUUGCCCAUCAUUGAUGGUGGUAUUGGCAUGACCAAGGUUGGUAGUGUGUCACUUAUGGCACUGUGUUUUUAAUUCGUGUUGAUUUUUUUUUUUUUAAUUUUUAUAAACCCAC
rnacentral:misc_RNA from 1 species